ACGAUCCAAUCCUCACUUGGAGGAUACCAUGUUACUAUUGCCACAAUGUUCACAUAGUUUUUCUUUGUCUAGCAUUCAUAAUUCUUGGUGCUAUUCAUUCCCUCUAGUCAUAAUGUCACCUUGUUUACUAUUGUCAUAGUCCUAUACCUUGUUCCUACAUUCAUAGGGUUCUAUGUCAUGGUCCUUUAUUGUUUCACAUGUUUUCUACAUUGAAAGCACAUAAGAUUGCCCACAUCUCAGCCACAUAAUAACAUCAACCCUAUAAUGCAUAAAUGCCAACUAUACAUAAACAUAUAUGCUCAACAAGGGAACAUCGACAUAAUGAAGGAUUCUAAGAUUUUGGAUAGCACUACCCACCUCGUGGGGAUACCGAGAUGCGAGAAGCCAAGUCCUGUGAUUUUUAGACGUCUACUUCUCUCGACCCCCGACAAACAAAGCAAAAAUGAGGCUUAUCCUAAAUAUCUUGCAGUAGACCCAUUGGAACUUCGUCCGAGCCUCCCAACGCGUCGAAUUAAGCUUCAAUUAGGGCUACAAGAGAUCAAACCCAUGUUAGAUCUCUCAUUUUACAAAUCCCCAUUUUUAACCCUAGGGUUCAUACAUGAUACCCAUUAUACACUUUUCUUGGGAUUUCAUAGCGUAAACAAGGCUCUAGAAAUCCAAGAAACUCAAAACUAAACCAUUUAGGGUAAUUAAAUUAAACCCUAACAAAGAAAUGCAAGAAACCUACCUUAGGUUUUUGCUCCACAAAAUCCCCUUUGCUCUUGGGCUUCUUCUCCACCAAAACCACUUGAUUCCACCUUCAAUUUCUCUUAAUCUCCACCUUGAGAGAGGGUUCCUAGAGAGAGAAGAAGAAGGAGAUGAGAAGGAAAUGAUAACAAAGCCCUCUCAUGCAUGGGAACACCCAACACGUCGAAUUAUGCUUCAAUUAGGGUUACAAGAGAUCAAACCCAUGUUAGAUCUCCCAUUUUACAAAUUCCCAUUUUAACCCUAGGGUUCAUACAUGAUACCCAUUGUACACUUUUCUUGGGAUUUCAUAGCAUAAACAAGGCUCUAGAAAUCCAAGAAACUAAAAACUAAACCAUUUAGGGUAAUUAAAUUAAACCCUAACAAAGAAAUGCAAGAAACCUACCUUAAGUUUUUGCUCCACAAAUCCCCUUUGCUCUUGGGCUUCUUCUCCGCCAAAACCACUUGAUUCCACCUUCAAUUUCUCUUAAUCUCCACUUUGAGGGAGGGUUCCUAGAGAGAGAAGGAGAAGGAGAAAGAGAUGAGAAGGAGAUGAUAACAAAGCCAUCUCAUUCAUGGGAACACCCAACGCGUCGAAUUAUGCUUCAAUUAGGGCUAUAAGAGAUCAAAACUAUGUUAGAUCUCCCAUUUUACAAAUCCCUAUUUUUAACCCUAGGGUCGUACAUGACACCCAUUAUACACUUUUCUUGGAAUUUCAUAGCAUAAACAAGGCUCUAGAGAUCCAAGAAACUCAAAACUGUAAUUAAAUUAAACCCUAACAAAGAAAUGCAAGAAACCUACCUUAAGUUUUUGCUCCACGAAAUCCCCCUUUCUCUUGGGCUUCUUCUCCACCAAAACCACUUGAUUCCACCUUCAAUUUCUCUUAAUCUCCACCUUGAGGGAGGGUUCCUAGAGAGAGAAGGAGAAGGAGAUGAGAAGGAGAUGAUAACAAACCCCUCUCAUGCAUGGGAAUAACAGGUGUAAGGUUGGGGCUAUUUAUAUAGACCCCAGCAAUUACAAUUAGGCCCCUCACAAAAGUCUUACUCAACCAUUACAAUUCAGUCCUUUUAGUCUGAGUACCGGUACUCGGGUUGGAGUACCGGUCACGAGGCCUCUAGUACCGGUAUCAGGUGCACAGUACCGGUACCAGCCACCAACCCGAGAGCUACAUAAGCUCAAUUCUAACCUGGAGUACCGUUACACAAUUCCGGUACCAGUACCCGACCAGUCCAGUACUGGUACCAGCUGCACAGUAUCGGUACACACCCCAAACAGUCUCCCAAACCUGAGAGCUAGUCUUUCAGGUUUGAUCGCGUUGUACCGGUACUAGCCACUCAGUACCGGUACCCAAUCUGUCGAAUACCGAUACUAGAUGAACAGUACAGGUACCCAGCUUGACAGUAUCACAAACCCGAGAUCAGCUCAUCUUUCGGGCAACUGGUGGAGUAUCAGUACCCCUCCUCUGGUACCGAUACGCAGCUCCACACAACCAAAUUAAACCCGAGAGCUACCCAUCUCCUGUUUCUAUUGGGUACCGGUACCGCAUUGACUUGGUACCAGUACUCAAUGCCAAAGUUGCAAUCUCACAGCAAUAGUGUUCCGGAGUCCGUUUUCACGCCCAACUUGCGCCGGAAACACUUAAACACCUCCGAAACUCACAAUUAACCAUCCCCACGCCUCCAAAGUAACUCGAGGACAUCACACAUCACGCUCAUGCCUCACUUUGAUCAAUUCGAUCAAAGUUAGCAUCAUAACUCGGAGAUUUGGUAUAUUACAUUCCAUUUGUGCGUUUCUUUCUUAUGAUAUUUAGUUCGCAAUUGUCGAUUUCCUUGCCCCUUGGUAACAAUUAACAAGGAGCCUAGUUAGUUCAUAUGGUACUUAGAUGUUUUUCUUUUCUCGUGGAGGCUCCCAAAUCUUAUUCUAAUGGUGAAAAGUAAUGCUACGUUAAUGUGAAGUACCUCCCUUCCACGCUGGGAUGAAACUCAAUUGGAGAAUGAUGCCAUUAAUGUCUCCUUUUUUCAUUUUCCUUUUUUUAAAUAAUGAUUAGUUACUUUUCCUGCUAUUUUAGUGGAUACCUCCUCCUCAAAAUGAUAUAUGAUUAGUUACUAUUCAUCUUGAAUGUAAUUUGAAUUGCAUAUUCAAUUCUUUAUUUUGAGUUACUGAUUAUGAAUUCAAUAUCUUAUCAUAAAGUUGAAGUUCAAAUUUGUAUUUCUCUGUAUUUAUUGUUUUUCAAAUUCAGUUCGCCAUCCUACACGUAAUUUUUUGUUAGUUUGAUGAGUAUAUAGGCCAGUUAUUUGCCGAAUCUUGUAUCGUUCCUGGUAGUUCAGUUUGCCAUCCUAAACAUCUCUUUUUGAGUUAGUUUGUCGAGUUUGUGUGCUGGUUAUUUGUGGAAUCUAGCUAUAGUGUCCUUCAGUAUGCCAUCCUAGACAUUAUUUUUCAAUUAGUUUGUUCAGUAUAUAUGCCGGUUGCUUACUAAAUCUUAAUCUUCCUCUUAUGCUAUUCAGCUUGAUAUCCUAGGCAUCUAUUUUUGGGUUAGCUUUGCUGGACAUUUCUGUUUGUUGUCUGCUGAAAACUACUCCAAUCUUGACCCUUUAUUCUCUGGCCUAUAACAUUGCCAUGAUGUAGGACUACAACAGGAGACCUCUAACAGCAGUAAAAAUUCAUUUGAAACAUUGUUGAUUUGUCGAUAUUCUCUUCAUUUGUCUUUGCUGCCAUAAAAUUGUGAACACCUGGAAGAAUCAAGUGUAGGAGGCUUGGCUUGAAAAUGAAUGGAAGGUACGAUAUCCCAGAAUUCUAUAUUAGCUAGAUAGCUUAAGGAAACGUUGCUGAAUCUUGGGCCAACUUUCAUCAAAGGUAGGACAGCUUAUUGAAAUACAUAUUAUAUAUUAAAUUACUUGGUACUUUAUGACAUGCAGAAAUGGGGAAUGUAUUGCAUAACAUUACUGUUAGUGAUUCUCAUCUGUCUGGAACAUUUUCUUUUGCUCUGCAGAUUACAAGGCCAGAUAUAAUUGGACCAGAUAUUUACGAGGCACUGUCCGAGUUACAUGAGAAAGUUCGUCCUUUCCGAAGAGAUGUCACUAUGAAGCUUAUAGAAACAGAAUUAGGAUGCCCAAGAGAUAGCAUAUAUAGCUACAUUUCUGAUGAACCUAUCAGAAAUCUAAGAGUCUACAGUUUUCUACUCAUGCAGCAAGUUGACUUUUGCUAAUCAUUGAGAUCAUGAAUAGCAAAAUUUACUCCAUUACUCCCUUCUAUUUUGAAAUAAAAUCGUUGUUUAAUCAUUUUUUUGUGAUUCAGCUCUAUCAUCCUAUAGUGGUUUAACUUUGGUGUUGAAAUAUCUUCUAAUGUUUUUUUUCGAAGUGCAAUAUUUAACUUAUGCCUUUCCUAAAUUUAUACUUAAAAUGUAGUACCAAAUUGAUGAACUUGGGGUUAUUAUUUUAUGUUUCGUAAUCUUUUCAGCAUUCUUAGGUUUGGUUUCAACAUUCUUUGGUUCGAUCAUUGAAGGAAAUCACUACAGAACUUUACAAGCAUCAUGUCACCUGCGUCAUUUCACCAGUAUCACGUCGCUUGCAUCAUUCCACAUGGUUUUCUAUUCCAAGACUUCAGCAUAGAGAUUCUACGCCACCUACAUUAGAUGUUCCUAAUACCGAUUAUGAUACGCCCGGAUUGUCACGCUCUGAGCCCGCUUAUUUGGUCGGUUCGGGCACGUCAAACAGACGCCGAACGGACAGCACCUCUUCUGUCCGCCCAAAGCUCAACACAAGUACAGAUCAGGUUUCUCGUAAACGACUCACCAACUCAAAUCCCUAAUAUCGAGGAGACUCUUACAACACGACGGGACCGUCCUCUGGGGAAACUCUAACCCAGUGAUGACUACUCCGGAGCUCAUAGCUCAAGGAGGUGCGACCGCCUUCAAGCCAAGACUUAUAGGUGAGUAUAAUCCAAUCCUUAACUAUAAGGAUGCCAAGUUCAAUCCAAUCCUUAACUAUAAGGAUGCCUCAGCUUUGAGGAUGCUAUGUUCACAUAUGUCAUAAUACAAUCGUUUCAUUCUUUAGCAUUCUUUAGCUCUCUAACAUUUAUUAUACUCAUCAAAGCCUCACCACUAGGUGUCUCAUUUCUAGCAUUCAUGACUCAGUAAUGCCACACACCCUAUGUGUUCAACACUAGCAUUCAUUAUAUUCAUUAAUGCCACAUACCCUAUGUGUUCUCAUAUGUCAUAAUGUCACUAUGUUCUUAGCCUCAAUUAGAUUCUUGCCACAAUUCAUACAUUUAUAGGGUUUACAAGUCUCAAUAGCUCACUAACAUCUCAUAUGCAUUUUGUAUUAAAAGCAUGCAGAACACAUAUCAACAUAAUCUCAACUCACCCUACAAUGCAUGAAACUCAUAUACACAUAUAUGCUCAAGAAAGGACAUUUAGACAUAAAGGAAAAUUUAAGAAUUUCGGAUAGCACCACCCACCUCGUGGUGUUGCUAAGGUGCUACGAUUCAAUUCUUAUGAUUUUUGGUCGCUUAUUUCCCUUGACUGCAGCAAAACGAAGCCAAAACGGGCUUUUUCUUAAAUUUCUCCGCGUAGACUCGUCGGAUCUUCGAACCGAGUCUCCCAAUGCGUCGGUUUUACCUUCAAUUAGGGUUCUACGAGAGUAAUUUACAUAUAACCCAACCUAAGGCAAAAACCCCAAACCAAACCCUAGAAGGCCACUAUUGCAAGAACACUACAUACAACCCUUUGAUUCAAGCAAUAGCAAGUAUAAUACCAUCUAGAAACUCAUCUAGAUCCAUUCCUAGGGCAUUUAAACCAAACCCUAAAGUUCUACCAUGAGAGGUCUAGAAGCUUACCUCAAAACCUAGCUUUUUCUUGAGCCAAGGAAGAAGAAGAGGAAGAAGCUUCACCUCCAAGCCUUUUUCUCCACCAAAUCCUCCUCUUGACUCCACCCUAGGAGAGAGAGAGGGAGAUCUUAGAGAGAGAGAGAGAGAGAGCUCUCUUUUGGUGUGUGAGUGUGAGGAAAUGAGAGGAGAGAGCCCUCAACCCCUCUCAUAUUACCCCACUCAAACGCAAUUGCAUAAAACCCCUCUAACUUGCCACCUUAUGCACUGCCCGAACUGGGCAAAAUUCGGCUACGGGGUCUGGACCCUGCACAAGGUCCGGACCCCGUGAGCAUAUUUUCUGCGAAAAUUGCAGAAUCUCUCCCAGCUGCUCACCAAGGUCCUCUAACACUCUUAAGUACCAUUCCAACACAUUUCAGACUUUCCGAAGUGUUCCGAAGCGACCGACUUCGCACUUUGGUCAAUUUGACUAAAGUUCGAUAUAACCUACCGAAGUUUCGGUAUAUGACACGGAUGCUCCAAGUCUAAGUGAGAUGCUUUGUACAUAUCAAUUGAGGCAUUGAAUGUUUUUUUAUCUUCCAUGACUGAGUAAUAAUUUUUAGUUUUUUUUUCUCUAAAUAUUUAUGUUGUGAGUUGGCAACUUGAUGGAUUCUUGUUUUGUUUCUUUAUUUUUGUUGAUAUUGUUAGAGAAACUAAUGUAUAACAUUAUUUUAAAAUGAUUUGUCAUGUUGGAGUUUAGUUUGAAUGUGUUUUGCUUAUAAUUUUUGUUAUCUUGCCAAUAUAUAUUUGUAUAUGAACAUUUGGUAGCAAAAAAUAAUACUAUCGAAUGUGAAUAUAAUAUGUCGCAACUACUAAAUGCUCAUUUAGUGGCGACAAAUUUUUGCCACCAAAUGUUACAUUUAGUGGUGACAUGUAUUUACCAUCAAAUAGACACUUUUCAUGGUGAUAAAUAUUUGCCACCAAAUAAAACAUAUUUAGUGGCGAUAAAUAUUUGCCACCAAACGAAACACAUUUAGGGCAUGUUUGGUUCAUCUAUUUUAGAUUAUGGAAUCGGAAUGGAAUUCGUUGAUUCCGAUAGUUGCCGUUUGUUUUAUAGGAAUCAGAUUCCGAUUCCCAUUCCACUCUGGAAUGGGAAUGGCCAAAUCCAUUUAUGAUCCAAUCCGGCUUUAAAUUCCGGAUUGGCCCAUUUCAAAGUAAACUAUUCAAUAUCCUCUUUCAUCAACACCUACCUCCUCUCCCUUCAUCACUUUCCUCUCUCUUAAUUAAAACUCUCUAUAAAAAAUUUUAAAUUUAAUUCUGAUUUCCAUUCCAUUAAUGAACCAAAUAUUUUUGGAUGAUUCGUCAUUCCAUUUCCUAUUCCAAAGCAAUCCAAUUCCAUUUCCCAUUCCUAUUCCAAUCAUGAACGAGACAUGCCCUUAAUGGCGACAAAUAUUUGCCAUUAAAUGAUAUAUUUGCCAUCAAGUAGACACUUUUCCAUCAAAUAGACACUUUUCAUGGCGAUAAAUAUUUGCCACCAAAUGAAACAUAUUUAGUGGCGAUAAAUAUUUGCCACCAAAUGAAACACAUUUAGUGGCGAUGCCAUUAAAUGAUAUAUUUAGUGACGACAAAUAUUUGCCAUUAAAUGAUAUAUUUAGUGGGACAAAUAUUUGCCACCUAAAGUUGAAUCUUGGUGGCAAUAAUUAGUUGCCACCAAAUCCUAGCAAUUGGUGGGAACAAAAUGUCGCCACCGAAUGAUUCCCUUUCGUAGCAACUAUUGUCGCUACAAAAAGUUACAUUUAAAGUGGCAAAAUAUAUAUUCGCCACUGAUUCAUUCGCUGGCGGGAUCUAUUGCGGCAACAUAUGGUGACAAUUUUGGUCGCCAUUAUAGACAUUUGGUGGCGAUAUAAAGUCACCACCGAAUGAUAAUUAUCUUGUAGUGUCUCCCACCUAGAAAUGUGCAUGCCUUUUUCUUUCUCUAUAGCCAAGAUAUGUGCUCUUUCUCUCACUUUAAUUUUUAAUUUAAUGCUUUCUUCUUUUUCUUCGAAUAAGACACAUGCUUUUUUAAAAAUUAAAUUUUAAUUUAGUAAUUACAAAUUUUUAAUUAUUGAAAGUUUAAAAAUAAAAAUAUAUAAGUCAAAAGUAUAUGGAACAAAACUGUUUAUUCUAUUCUCGCGGUGACGGAGGGGUAGAGGGCCACGCUGCCACCUCCCAUGCUAAAGAUGAUCAUCAUUGAGGUCGAUCCAAAGUUGAUGCCAGGCUCGGCGGCAAUGACGAAAUGGUUCAGGGCAUAGACAAUCCUCGCGGGGGUCAAUCCGAAGUUGACAUUGGGCUCGGUGGCUACGGUGCAACGGUUUAGGUCAUUGAAGGAAAGCAACAGAGAUAGCCGCCCCAUCCGUGCCGUUGUGAGCUAGGGCCGAGCGAGCCGGCGGAUGAUCGCGGUAAAGGUAUCGCGCCAUAGCUAGAGACCACCCGAGUUGGUUUCAUAUUUUGGUUUAGUUGCAUACCCUUUAGUUCUCAUCUUUUGUAUUUUGAUGAUCUUAAUAUCAUGAACAUGUUAAAUGAAUGAUGUAAAAUGGGUUUAUGUUCAAUGCAAAGGUUAUAUUUUGAGAUA